GAUGAACGCUGGCGGCGUGCCUAAUACAUGCAAGUCGAGCGAACGGACGAUAAUCUUGCUUCUCUGAUGUUAGCGGCUGACGGGUGAGUAACACGUGGAUAACCUACCUAUAAUACUGGGAUAACUUCGGGAAACCGGAGCUAAUACCGUAUAAUAUUUUGAACCGCAUGGUUCAAAAGUGAAAUUCGGUCUUGCUGUCACUUAUAGAUUGAUCCGCGCUGCAUUAGCUAGUUGGUAAGGUAACGGCUUACCAAGGCAACGAUGCAUAGCCGACCUGAGAGGGUGAUCGGCGACACUGGAACUGAGACACGGUCCAGACUCCUACGGGAGGCAGCAGUAGGGAAUCUUCCGCAAUGGGCGAAAGCCUGACGGAGCAACGCCGCGUGAGUGAUGAAGGUCUUCGGAUCGUAAAACUCUGUUAUUAGGGAAGAACAUAUGUGUAAGUAACUGUGCACAUCUUGACGGUAACUAAUCAGAAAGCCACGGCUAACUACGUG
rnacentral:rRNA from 1 species